CAGCCGCCGGGUAAUACAGAGGGUGCGAGCGUUAAUCGGAUUUACUGGGCGUAAAGCGUGCGUAGGCGGCUUUUUAAGUCGGAUGUGAAAUCCCUGAGCUUAACUUAGGAAUUGCAUUCGAUACUGGGAAGCUAGAGUAUGGGAGAGGAUGGUAGAAUUCCAGGUGUAGCGGUGAAAUGCGUAGAGAUCUGGAGGAAUACCGAUGGCGAAGGCAGCCAUCUGGCCUAAUACUGACGCUGAGGUACGAAAGCAUGGGGAGCAAACAGGAUUAGAUACCCCUGUAGUCCCUGUCUCUUAUACA
rnacentral:rRNA from 1 species